AAUCUAGAGGCGGUGCAAAAUAUUACCUUGUGUGUGUUGAUUGUUUCACUAAUUAUUCUUGGGUUUAUUUGAUGGAGAAACCGCAAGAAACUUUAGAAAAGUUUCAGGAGUUUUGUGACAAGGUUAAAAAUAUGCAUGAUGCUAACAUUGAUUGUCUUUUCACAGAUGACAAGCAAGUUUUUCUGUUACAGAAGUUUCAGAAGUUCCUGGAUGGAAAAGGGAUAGACCACAAAGUUUCUGUUUCGCCCGAAGCGUGGAACAGAGGGGUCUGUGUGAAAGUGAACAAAGAAUUGCAAAAGGGGAUGCAUGCGCAAUUGCUAAGUUCACAUUUGCCACAUGAAUAUUGGGCCGAGUCACUAGCGUCCUAUCUUCACGUGUGGUUGAGAAAAGUCUCAACAGAGUUGGGAUGUUCUCCUUUUGAGAAGCUUUUCAAAAUAAAACCUUCUGUUGCCUAUUUUAAGGUUUUCGGAUCUCAUGUGAGAACAGAAGCUCCAGGUGGAGUAAAGAAUGCCAGAGGCAUUUUUGUGGGAUAUGAAAAGGGUCUCUAUAGAGUAAUUUUGUCUGAAUCUGGUCAGGUGAUUCUCACAAAGUUCCUAGAGAGUGCUCCAGAAAAAUGCCUCUGGCAUUCUUUACCCCACCUGGAGCUUCUGUUCUCACUUGAGACCCGAAAACCUUAAAAUAGGCAACAGAAGGUUUUCUAUUGAACAGCUUCUCAAAAGGAGAACUUCCCAGCUGUUUUGAGACGUUUCUCAACCACACGUGAACAUAGGACAUUAACGACUCCGCCCAAUAUUCAUGUGGCAAAUGUGAACUAAGCAAUUGCGCAUUCAUUCCCUUUUGCAAUUCUUUGUUCACCCUUACACAGACACCUCUGUUCCAUGCUUCCGCUGAAACAGCAACCUUGUGUCUUAUCCCUUUCUUCUGCAGGAACUCCUGAAAAUCCUGUAAAAGAAAAACUGGCUUGUCAUCUGUGAAAAGACAAUCAAUGUUAGCAUCAUGCAUGCUUUUAACCUUGUCACAUAACUCC
rnacentral:lncRNA from 1 species